GACGAACGCUGGCGGCGUGCUUAACACAUGCAAGUCGAACGGAAAGGCCUCUUUCGGGGGGUACUCGAGUGGCGAACGGGUGAGUAACACGUGAGUAACCUGCCCUUGACUUUGGGAUAACUUCAGGAAACUGGGGCUAAUACCGGAUAGGAGCUCCUGCUGCAUGGUGGGGGUUGGAAAGUUUCGGCGGUUGGGGAUGGACUCGCGGCUUAUCAGCUUGUUGGUGGGGUAGUGGCUUACCAAGGCUUUGACGGGUAGCCGGCCUGAGAGGGUGACCGGCCACAUUGGGACUGAGAUACGGCCCAGACUCCUACGUGAGGCAGCAGUGGGGAAUAUUGCACAAUGGGUGGAAGCCUGAUGCAGCAACGCCGUGGGCGGGAGGACGGCCUUCGGGUUGGAAACCGCUUUCGCUCAUGACGAAGCUUUGUGUGACGGUAGUGGGUAAAGAAGCACCGGCUAACUACGUG
rnacentral:rRNA from 1 species